rnacentral:rRNA from 1 species
GACGAACGCUGGCGGCGUGCUUAACACAUGCAAGUCGAACGGAAAGGCCCUGCUUUUGUGGUGUUCUCGAGUGGCGAACGGGUGAGUAACACGUGAGUAACCUGCCCUUGACUUUGGGAUAACUUCAGGAAACUGGGGCUAAUCCCGGAUAGGAGCUCCUGCUGCAUGGUGGGGGUUGGAACGUUUCGGCGGUUGGGGUUGGACUCGCGGCUUAUCAGCUUGUUGGUGGGGUAGUGGCUUACCCAGGCUGUGACGGGUAGCCGGCCUGAGAGGGUGACCGGCCACAUUGGGACUGAGAUACGGCCCAGACGCCUACGGGAGGCAGCAGUGGGGAGUAUUGCACAAUGAGCGGAAGCCUGAUGCAGCAACGCCGCGUGCGGGAUGACGGCCUUCGGGUUGUAAACCGCUUUCGCCUGUGACGAAGCGUGAGUGACGGUAAUGGGUAAAGAAGCACCGGCUAACUACGUG